rnacentral:rRNA from 1 species
UAGGGAAUAUUGGUUAAUGGGCGAAAGCCCGAACCAGCAACGCCGCGUGUGCGAUGAAGGCCUUCGGGUCGUAAAGCACUUUUAAAGAGGAAGAGGAAGGACGGUACUCUUUGAAUAAGCUUCGGCUAACUACGUGCCAGCAGCCGCGGUAACACGUAGGAAGCGAGCGUUAUCCGGAUUUACUGGGCGUAAAGCGCGUGUAGGCGGUCUGGUUAGUUGGAUGUGAAAGCUCCCGGCUUAACUGGGAGAGGUCGUUCAAUACUGCCAGACUAGAGAGUGGUAGAGGGAGAUGGAAUUCCGGGUGUAGUGGUGAAAUGCGUAGAUAGCCGGAGGAACAACAGUGGCGAAAGCGAUCUCCUGGACCAGUUCUGACGCUCAGACGCGAAAGCUAGGGU